rnacentral:rRNA from 1 species
UACGUAGGGGGCAAGCGUUGUCCGGAUUUAUUGGGCGUAAAGAGCGUGUAGGCGGCCAGACAGGUCCGUUGUGAAAACUCGAGGCUCAACCUCGAGACGUCGAUGGAAACCGUCUGGCUAGAGUCCGGAAGAGGAGUGUGGAAUUCCUGGUGUAGCGGUGAAAUGCGCAGAUAUCAGGAAGAACACCAAUGGCGAAAGCAGCUUUCUGGGACGGUACUGACGCUGAGACGCGAAAGCGUGGGGAGCGAACAGG